UAAGCCCAUUUUUAACACAUUGGCUACGACCAAGUUAAGAAUUCUUACGGCUACCAACGUUUAGAGAAUAAGAGCCCUGGUUUGUACAGUAUAUGCGCAU